rnacentral:lncRNA from 1 species
UUCAACUUAUGUUUAGAAACUCAUGCGUGUGAUAAUGGACUUAUAGGUUUGCAUUGUGGGCGUUGACGGUGGGCAUAUAUGCUGCGGUGGAGCUCAUUGGUUCAUGCUUGGUGUGAACUUGGAACUCAUGAUCCUUUAAUUUGUGAACCUCUCGUUGCAUAUGUAUGUAUGUUGUUGUGAACCUUCGUUGGAUAUGUAUGCACUGUGUGGACCUGAAACUUACGGUCCUUUCGUUUGUGAUCUUUUGUUGCAUACGUAUGCAUAUGUGGACUCUGCACUCAUGUACGGCUGGAUAUAUGUAUUACUUGAUAUAUGCUUGUUGGUCAUGGUCAUGUACUGCUGGAUACAUAUAUUUGUUGGAUAUAUGUGCUGCUGGAUAGAUGUAUUACUGUAUAUAUGUUGUUGCUGCUCCCUGAAGUGAUAUAUGUGCUGCUGGAUAGAUGUACUAGUGUAUAUAUGUUGUUGCUGCUCCCUGAAGCACCUGUAUAUAUGUU